rnacentral:rRNA from 1 species
AUUGAACGCUGGCGGAAUGCUUUACACAUGCAAGUCGAACGGCAGCACGGGGCAACCUGGUGGCGAGUGGCGAACGGGUGAGUAAUACAUCGGAACGUGCCCAAUCGUGGGGGAUAACGUAGCGAAAGUUACGCUAAUACCGCAUACGAUCUACGGAUGAAAGCGGGGGAUCGCAAGACCUCGCGCGAAUGGAGCGGCCGAUGUCAGAUUAGGUAGUUGGUGGGGUAAAGGCUCACCAAGCCAACGAUCUGUAGCUGGUCUGAGAGGACGACCAGCCACACUGGAACUGAGACACGGUCCAGACUCCUACGGGAGGCAGCAGUGGGGAAUUUUGGACAAUGGGCGCAAGCCUGAUCCAGCCAUUCCGCGUGCAGGAUGAAGGC